rnacentral:rRNA from 1 species
UACGGGGGGGGUAAGCGUUGUUCGGAAUUACUGGGCGUAAAGGGCUCGUAGGCGGCCAACUAAGUCAGACGUGAAAUCCCUCAGCUUAACUGGGGAACUGCGUCUGAUACUGGAUGGCUUGAGUUCGGGAGAGGGAUGCGGAAUUCCAGGUGUAGCGGUGAAAUGCGUAGAUAUCUGGAGGAACACCGGUGGCGAAGGCGGCAUCCUGGACCGAUACUGACGCUGAGGAGCGAAAGCCAGGGGAGCAAACGGG